CAUUACUGUAAGACAUAGGGCUCUGAGACUGCGCCAAAGGCGUGUGCUCGACCCUCUCUUCAUCCACACACACCUGUGCACUAUGGGACGAAAGUCCCCUUUUUUCACAAACACCGAGUUAUAUGCAUGUUUUUUUACAUACUCUACGGAGUAGUUGGUACAACUUUCAACAACGGAUCUCUUGGCUUUCGCAUCGAUGAAGAACGCAGCGAACGUGCGAAACGUAAUGUGAAUUGCAGAAUUCAGUGAAUCAUCGAAUCUUUGAACGCAUCUUGCGCUCCUUGGCAUUCCGAGGAGCAUGCCUGUUUGAGUGUCGUGAAGUAAUCUCAAUUUCAAUCUUUUUGGUUGAAGUUGGACUUGGACGCUGUCGUGGCUCACACGACUCGUCCUAAAUGCAUUAGCGAAUCUGCCUCUGAUCACGCGCAAUGUGAUAAGAAAUUUAAAGCAUUGUUAGAUCAAAGGUCAGGGUUGCUUCCAACCGUCGAAAGACAAACACUUUGUGUCAUUUGACCUCAGAUCAGGUAGGACUACCCGCUGAACUUAAGCAUAUC
rnacentral:rRNA from 1 species